UUUUUUUUUGUGGGGAGUGGUUGUGCAGGAACACUGUCCUCUUCUUGGUAUUUUCCUCCUCAGGAAGCACCUUGCACACAGGAUGCUCACAGAGAACAUUUACCUAGAGUGGGAAGAAGGAGAGGAGUAUUUGCCUCCGACGCCUUUUGACCCCACCUUGGGUGAGCUCAGCUGCAUGGACUUUAGGAUCCUUCUCACAACACCCAUGUCACCAGCUCAGCUUGGGCUCCACCAGACACGCCAGCACCACAGACUCCCCGUGGCUGCCUUUCUGCACCUCACACCUGCACUUGUGUGGCUGCCCUUCUCUCCCUGAGGCAAGAGAUGCAGAGGGAUUCACUUGGACCCAAGUCCAAUGAAGGAAGUUAAUGUCCUGGUGGCAAAACUUUGAACAGUAGGAAGACAGUCUUGAUGAAUUCUGUCACUAUAAUUGCUACUCGGAGAAUCACCACCCACCACAGCAAUCAAACUGGCAAAUUCCUCACGAAGGGCUUGUUCGAGUCAAGGUGGCAGGAUUGUACUCCAUUUGAGACCUUAUCGUCUGUGGUCAGUAGAAGAAAGCACAUUUGACUCUUCUGCAGGGAUUUUUAUUAAUUUAGUAUUAGGUAAUGCUGAAAUGUUAAUUCUGCCUCAGCUGCUAAUUCACAAAAAACUUUCCAUGUAUUUUGUCACAGUUAUUCUGCCUACAGAAUUACGUGAAGUAUUAUUGUUGGCAAGAUAACAGACUCCCUAGGGUAUGUCUGGUGUUUCUACCUUUAGAUGUCUGAAUGUCUGUGUUCCCACAAAAUUCGUAUGUUGCGAUUUUAAGCCCCAACGUGAUGACAUUAGAAGGUAGGGCUUUGGGAGGUGACAAGGACAUGGAGCAGAGUCCUCAUGAAUGAAAUUAGUGCCCUUACAAAAGAGGGUCCAGAGAGCUCUUGGGGUCCUUGCACCAUGUGAGGAAAUGGAGAAGAGGUACCCUCUGUGAACCAGGCAGUGGGCAUCAAAUGUGCCAAAACCUCAGUCACAGACUUUCCAUUUCCAUAACUGUGACAAAUAAGUUUCUGUUGUUUGAAAAAAAAAACACCUAGUUUAAUGUUAUCUUGUUAAAACAGUCCAAACGGACUAAGACAAUGAGCAUGUAUGCAAAUGUAAUCUUUCUUAUCUAUUAUAAUUAAAGAUUCUCCCCAGCAUCUA